AUUGGACGCUGGCGGCAGGCCUAACACAUGCAAGUCGAGCGAGCGGAGGACGGGUGAGUAAUGUAUGGGGACUGCCCGAUAGAGGGGGAUAACUACUGGAAACGGUAGCUAAAACAGCAUACUAUCGGAUAACACAUAUGGGGUUAGCUAGUAGGUGAGGUAAUGGUACACCUAGGCGACGAUCCCUAGCUGGUCUGAGAGGAUGAUCAGCCACACUGUGACUGAGACACGGCCCAGACUCCUACGGAGGCAGCAGUGGGGAAUAUUGCACAAUGGGCGCAAGCCUGAUGCAGCCAUGCCGCGUGUAUGAAGAAGGCCCUAGGGUUGUAAAGUACUUUCAGUCGGGAGGCGUUACCGACAGAAGAAGCACCGGCUAACUCCGUGCCAGCAGCCGCGGUAAUUC
rnacentral:rRNA from 1 species